AACUUCCUUAUCCCUGUUCCCUUUGCCUAUAAAAGUCUUUCAUUAUAUAUAGCUCCUCUGACUUCCUUUCUCUCUGCAGGCUGGCAUGCUGUCCAUUCAUGAAUCAUUGAAUAAAGCCAACAUGAAGUGGGAGCCAUGAGGAUCAUGUCUGUCAAGUCUAACCUUAGAGACCCGUCUGCUCCCUGUGAUGUGCCCUUUCCCCCUGCAUUGUCCCGCCUCCCACGCUUGCCAUACUCUGCGUCGUGUUAACACCCUUCAUGGAAGAUGCUGUCAGGCAUUCUACUUUUCUGUUAGCAGCUAUGAAAAGGCUGAAGUUUCUAUCAGCUCUGAUGAGUCAAGACUUGGAUCUGUGGUAAGAAACUGCCAGCAAAAUGGACAAAUAGACAAAACCAAUAGCACAGCAAGACUGGAAAUAGACUCAAUUGGCAGGAGAGCUAAAAACGUGAUGGGAGUGUCAUCCCCAGUCUGUGAGGGAAGCUGGAUUCUCCAAUAAAGCGUGUUGGACAUGAGUUUCUCUAAAGCAAGUGAAAAAAAAAAAAAGUAGUAGAAGAAAACAGAAGAAUUCCUAUAUAAACUCAGAAGGAAGAAGGAGUUUCAAGCUAUGAUCCAAGCCAAAAGGUGACCAAAGGAAAAAAAUGAAUCUGCUUGAAAACAACCUCUAAAAAAAACAAAAACAAAACAAAAACAAAACUAAAAACUAGGAAAAAUAUUUGGAACUCACAACACAUGAUGCGUUCUCAUCUAUAAAGUAGGUUUAUUAUGUCAGUACUUUCUUCAGAGGGCUGUUCGAACAUUAAAUGAAUUAAUAUAUAUAAAUCUUAAAAUACUAUCUGUAUAAUUAUUAUUCAUUAAAUAGUAGUAUUUUUAUCACUACUACUGUCAAAAUAUCUAAAGCAUAGUGCUAGAUGAAAAAAGGGGUGACAGUAAUAUGUGUAGUAUACUAACAUGUUUGUAAAAAAAGUAUGUCUUUGCAUGUAUAUGAAACUCUGGACAAAUGCACAAAAAAGUAACUGUGCUAUUUAUUGGGGGUGAAGUGGACGUGAUAAAAGAGGUUGUAAGUUUAGGAGGAAUAUUUAUAUUUUUCACUGAUACUUCUUUAUGUAAAUGGUCAAACUAAAAAAAAAGAAGUGCUACUAAUGUA